rnacentral:rRNA from 1 species
GUGUCAGCAGCCGCGGUAAUACGUAGGGUGCAAGCGUUAAUCGGAAUUACUGGGCGUAAAGCGUGCGCAGGCGGUUUUGUAAGUCUGUUGUGAAAUCCCCGGGCUCAACCUGGGAAUGGCAAUGGAGACUGCAAGGCUAGAGUUUGGCAGAGGGGGGUAGAAUUCCACGUGUAGCAGUGAAAUGCGUAGAUAUGUGGAGGAACACCGAUGGCGAAGGCAGCCCCCUGGGUCAAAACUGACGCUCAUGCACGAAAGCGUGGGGAGCAAACAGGAUUAGAUACCCGAGUAGUCC